AUGGUGGUCGGCAGCCCAUCCCCUAUCAGAAGAGAAGAGAGAGGCGGAGGCGGUGGACGGGGGUCACCACCGUCGGUGAGCAGCGGCAAGGGGUUAGCUGGAGGUCAUGGAGCGCGGGAAGCUGCCGCAGCACAACCCUGGGAAGUUGGAGCCUAGCUGUCGUGGAGGAGCAGGGGGGAAGGAGAGAGGGAGGUACUGAGAAGAGGGCGGCGGAGAUAUUUUGCCAGUCCCGCCACCAGCAAGGUUUCGCCGGUGAUGUCGGAACCGUUCGUCGGCGCCGUUCGAGCCGGAGGGUUGUGGAUUCUUGGGGGCAGAGAUCAUCGAGUGGAUGCUAUGAACCCAACUACGACCCUAAUGACAGUCCCCCAAACACUGAGAGUUGUGAUGAGAGCAUUGCAUAUAGUGAUGAAGAAUCUGUAUCUAGGAGGAAGAAGUUAUUAGAAGAUGCUUUAUUUGUUUUUUUAGGAAGGAGGCAAUCAAAUCACUCGAGAUUUUCCAAAAUUCUGGAAGAAUGUCGACCUUAAAACUGAGGUAUUACACUUUUUUUGUCCUCAUAGCUGUCUAUCUCUAUUCUUCUUUUGGUCCUCUUUUUCUCUUCACUUUCAUUCUUUUUAUGUUAGUUACCCCUGACAUUCUACUCAUGAUUAUUGCCUUUUAGCAAAAUUAGAGGCAAAAGGUUAUGGGGGCAGGGAGGCAUGUGUGCAGCGUCUUUUCCACAAAAUACUUUGUAGAUAUCUUGAGGGGUAUGCCCAGUGGCCGGAAGGAUGUCAUCUCAAAAUACGGGUUUGAGCCUCUUCUGAAAUUUGAGAAAACUGAUAUCCCAUCACGAUUUGUCCGCUAUAUUGUCGAAUGUGUAGACACAGUGUCAUCUCAAAUCAUUGUUACUGAUGAGAAGAUCAUUCCUAUCUCAAAGGAUUCAGUUCCUUGUGUGUUGGGCCUGCUAGACAGUGGUGAUUUAGCGACACAAGACAAGGAUAGUGGGAGGAACUUCAUUUUGUCUCGGUUCAGCUUGACAGAAAUGCCAAACAUUACUUUCUUUGGAGACAUGCUCAUAUCUUCUGAUUUUCACAGCGAGGAAGGCACUUUCAUAUGCUUCAUGGUGAUCGCAAUGUCGUGCUUCCUUUUUCCAUCUUCCAGCGAUCAGAUUCACAUUGAGUUUUUGACCUUGCUUGUUAAUCCAAAGCGCACAAGUGGUUUUGAUUUCUGUGCGCUUGUGUAUGAUUGGAUACUCACUGGCAUCAACAAGUUUGUGAUUUCUGGCAGAGUACCUGGCAGGAAACCAGAGGUGUUUUGACUUUUGCUCGUACUGCAUCACGGUUAGUCUUGUUUAAGUGUUUUUUCGCAUCCGUUUGUUUUUGUUUUGUAUGUUAUGUGUCUCCUUUUUUCUUUUUCUUUUCUAUUGGGGAAGUACAGAUGCAUUUAACUAAAAGCUAUUGGGGAAUGCGAAGGUUAAGAUAGCUUAUACAAUUGAUAAGAACAGAAUGCUCAAGUGUUCCUGGAACUAAACCGGGAUUAGUGUCAUCAAUAUAAAUUGGGUUUGUAUUUGCUAGGCAUUUUUUUCAUCAAUUUCCAGAAGCUAAACUUUAAUGCCUGGAAUCUACAUCAAAAUUGAAUCAGUUAGUUCCUAAUCAGCUAAGCUUAAAUUUAGCAGUUCAACUACUGCAAUGGACUCUUUAGAGUUCAGAUUUUGUAUUGUUAAAGGAUGUUAGUUAAAUAUGAAAAUAGUCCAUGAUAGGUUGUCAUGUCAAUGAAGAGCCCAAGGUCAGAAGAGUAACAAGUUCGGGAGGAGCAUGAACUAUGCUUGUGGGCGUAGAGAUAAUAUGAUAACUAUUAUAUUCAAUCCAUGGCCAAUAACAAGUUAUAAUAAAAAUAAAAAAUUAGGUGUCUGUCAACUAUAAAAUUUAUUAAAUUGAAUUCAGUGCGUAGUGAUAAUUUUAUCGAUAUCCGGUUCAAUCCAUGGCCAAUAACAAGAAAAUCAGUGUCAACUAUGAAUUGAUUAAAUUGGCUUCAGUACAAUAGAUAGAACUUUGGUUUUAUAUAACAAAUCGAGUAUCUUAACGAGCGAAUGUGAGGAAUCUUGUUCUGGGGCGACCGGUCCUUUUGUCGUUCAAUCUGCUGUAAGCAUGUGCGGUGAUGAUGGGUAGGAAAAGCGGACCAAGCUAUAAAUCAUUCAUAACAAAUUGAUUAAGUUGCCUCCGGUUCAUGGAGAAGACUUGAUUUUCUAGGUCAUCAUAGUAGAGUUAGAGCUCCCAAUGAUCAGUUGCUGCAGAGCUGAGUUGUACAGUUGGAAUUCGGUGCAGAACAGUUAGCUUAGAACUAUGGGCCAUUGAUUUAGGUAUAGGAUAAUAAUUUGCAUGUCUUCUCUACAUGUUUAUGUUUAUCAUGUCCUUUAAAACUGCAUGAAGUAAUAUUAUGUCGAUAGUUAAGGUUCUGCACUGACUUGCAACACAUAUAAGUCAUAGCUCAAGAACUUUCAGACAGACUGCUAGACAUACUGGCAACCAAAGGGUUUAAUUGCAACUUGGAAGCACAAAAAAUUCUCUAGAGUGCCAGUUUUAAAAUCAUUACCAUGCACAAUUGCAUGUCAUUAUUCAAUACUGUACACAAAUAUAACUUGUGGCUAAUGAGUCAGAAAUCGAAUUGAACUAAAAAAUGCAUAUGCCUAGGAAUUAAUUAAUGGUUCAAUGUUUAUAUAACUUUAUGUGCAAGUACAUAUGUAUAACUUUCAUUUCAUAAUCACCUCCAUAGAGGACUAAUAGAAUAGCAAUCUACAACUGAAUUCUGCAAAGCAUGAUUAAGUAACUGGCAAAUAUAGGCUGGACACAUGAAAACUUCAGUAACAGACAUGGUGAUUCAUUAGAGAUAUGCAUAUGGGCAAGGCAUUGCAAUGCAUUCAGCGUAUGGGGUCUUCCGCUUAGCUGCGAGGUCUGCGUUUCGCUGAGCCCGCAAUGCCUUCCUCUCAUCUAGUGGUAUGCUCUGCCUGCGUGCUCUUCGACGGGCGUCCAUCUCUUGCCUCUGCUCAACUGGUAUAUUUUUACUCGCUGCCCUUCUACGGGCGUUCAUCUCUUGCCUCUCCUUUGUUGUCAGAUUUUGUCUGGCAGCGCUUUGGCUCGAAUUCCUAUCUUCAAUAGUUCUAUUUUGUCUAGAUGCUCUUCGACGCGCAUUCAUUUCUUCUCUUUGCUCGGGUGUUAGGCUAUCUCGCCUUGCAUUGGAAGCAAUAUCUUCAGCACCACUCGGUGUUCCUUGAGGUGUUGUAGGAUUUUCUGCAUGCCCAGUGUGUAAUUUGGUAAAUCCAUGACCCACAUUUGAAGCAAUAUACCCAGCACAUGGUUAGACUUAAUAAAUCUAGAUCUAUAGAUGACCAUACUUCAAUGGUAAAAACAUCGUGUGAAAGGGUAAAUACCAUUUGAAGUUCCCACAUGCUCCCCUGGCUCCAAUGCUAUCAUGGUACUGGCUGUAGGAACCAUUGUAGCUAAUUGGGUGGACGGUUCACAUAUGAACAUUCCAUAUGACUGUUCCACAACAAAAUUUAAGAUUACAAGAUGGUCACCUUCAAAUCAUCAAUUAAGACAUUAUGUCUACACAUUGUUAGAAAAUACACAUCUCUUUUUCCCUUAUCCUCCGACAUCUUAUAAGAAAAUGUUGCAUGUAUAAUGAUUAAUGACCUUUGAACCUUCAGCACCGUGGUUGGGCAAAAUACAAUACUGUAGUAAUAAAUGGUGCAGGGAUAGUGAUUAAGUCCCUUUGAAACUUCAACAACAUGGUUCAUAAACAAAGAAAAAUAAAUAAUAAUUACCUACAUACGUAGUUUCUCCUCUAGUUGCUAAAAAAACGUAGUUUCUCCUCCAUGCACACAUUAUUGUCUUCUCCAGACAUCUAAAUUUUAAUGAAUUUCUACAAGUUUGCUUGGUGAGGUUGCAUUUCUUAUUGCCCAAGUUGAAAGUUCCUGGAGAACAGACCCUCGUUGUUCUUGGGAAGAACGAGAGAAGCACGGCCCACCAGCGGUGGAUAUGCAUGUGACUUGUGACUAUGAAGAUUCACAAGAAAGAUGGCACCACAUCGGAGAAAUAGAUGGCUUUGUCAAAAGGUGAACUCACCUCCAGGUGAUGAAAGCGAGGUUGACAUGUUGAUGACCUCAUGUGACCUCCAUGGUGACCAUGUGUGAUCUCCAGCGUGAUCUCCCAGCUAUGUAUCGCCUGUGCUUGAUGGUGAGUACUUGAGGCAGGGGUGUUCAUGAAUGACCAAUCCUGUAAUAGAAGCUGUUUAAAUACGUACUCCUACCAAAUAUGGUGGAGAUGUUUGAAGGCGUUAUCAAUCUUGUCGGUGCUUUCCUUAUCUUGUGCCUGAUGUUUAGUAUGUAACAAUUAGGGUAAUUAUUGUUAGGAUUCUACGGUUUUUUCCA